GUAGGCUAUUAUUAACAUGUUGGUAACAACAUCUUUAUUUUAACGAGACAAGUAAACAGUUUGUUACAAAAAGACCGACGACAAUUACAUUUUAACUCUCACCAAGCCGUUUGCCUAGGUUUUCUACUGCCGUUGUCUAAACUCACACCUUAUUUUGCUGAUAUUGCUAAACACCCAUUCAUUUUUCCAUAUGAAUUCUUUCUUUGGGACCAGAAAGUGUUAAAAUGCUACCACUAAAAACUACAAAUUUCGGUCGUCGGAUACUCUAUUUCCCCUUUUGUUCCGAGUUCCGGUGUCUGCGGUGUUAAAAUAAAAGUUCGUUACCUUAAUUUCGCCUUUUGACCUACAAAACGUUUGCGAAAGUCCUGGCCUGCUGGUGUCUGCGACGAAGAUCGAAAAAGGGAGCUACCCAAUGUAAACCAAUCGAAUGUACCUAAACCAAAGAAAGGUACCUCGAAGUUUGAACUGGAGAGCUACCUAGAGAUGGAGCUAAUGUUUCUAAAGACGCGCUUCAGUCCACGUCACUGUCCAGUUCCAGGUAUUACCGUCACAAGCGUUUCCUUACCCCUUUCAAUGAAGUCAGGUCAACUGUAAGAUUACCUUGCCCCAUGGAGUCGGGUAAAGGUUGGACUCUUCCACAAGAGCAGAUUUGCAAGGAUAAGAAAGCAGUUCCUCGCCAGCAAUCUAGCAGCUCCCCACCAGCUGUUAUGGCUCGGGACGCUUCGUACAAUAACGAGCCAGAGGACGAAGAGCUUGCAAGAAAAAGGGGAGAAUUGUACUUAGUUGAGGAGCAAAUAUCUCGGAAAAGGACUAACAUUGAUUUGAAAAACAAUGACCUGCAACGAACGCCCCAGUACCGCGAAAAGGAUGAUAAAGAUGUGGAGGAAGAUGAAGAAUGGGACAAUGAAAUCAAGGCCUCUAAUCCUGCCCCACCUUCAUUUAUGAAAGGUUUUGUGGACAAGAGAAAUGCAGAAAUCCUGCAGAGAGAUUUGGAGCAGAAACGUAAGGCCCAAUCAGACCUCAACACAACCCCAGAACACAGAGUUGAAGCUUUGAGACCUCACCGCCACUCAGGGCAUGCACUGCCAUCUCCAGUUUCCAAGCAGAGUCCAGCUGAACAGGCUGAUCCCUUCAGUCUGAAAUGCUCCCAGGAAACACUGAACAGUGGUCCACUUUUGAAGGGCUUUGAUAAUUUCCUCAGCGUCCUUAACCAAGGGGUGGAUGUACAGAGGCUGUCUGACAUAGUGAAUGCGGCUCAGGUUAGAGUUGUGAAUAACAAGCCAGCUGCUCCUAUUCGUGGUGAGACAUGUAGGAGUGUAGAUGUGGACGAUAAAAACUCAAGAGAGAAGUACAGAGAAUUAAAAGACAAGGAAAAGGGGUCCAAAAGGAAGAGAAAGGACUCCAGAGAUGGGAAUAAUCCUUCAAGAGACAAGGACAGACAGUCUAGACACAAUCGAGGAGACUCUGAAAUGAAGGACAUGGCUUCAAGAGGCAGGAGAAGCGACUCUAGAGACCGACACAGGCAUUCAGAUGGCAGGAAAAGCAGAAGGGACUCGAGAGAGAGAGACAGGGGAAGGGACUCAAGAGAGGGAGACAGGGGCUGGAAUUCAAGAGAGGGAGACAGGGGCUGGAAUUCAAGAGAGGGAGACAGGGGCUGGAAUUCAAGAGAGGGAGACAGGGGUUGGGACUCAAGAGAGGGAGACAGGGCCUGGAAUUCAAGAGAGGGAGACAGGGGUUGGGACUCAAGAGAGGGAGACAGGGGCUGGAAUUCAAGAGAGGGAGACAUGAAUUCAAGACACAGGAAGUUGGAGUCGAGAGAUGAUUGCAGGGAUUCAGAAGACAGAGGGAGCAAAUCUAAGAUCUGGGACAGGGAAUUGGGAAAUAGGGACAGGAAUGUGAGAAACAAAGACAAGGACACAAACGACCUUAGACAGGAUUCCCUGAGCCCAAGGAGAAGAUGCUCAAGAGACAGGAGGAGCAGGAGCAGGUCUUCUAGCUCCAUCUCAUCGUCCUCAGAGGGCGAGAGGAAGAUGGAGAAAAAGGAACAUCUCUCGAGGGUCCAGACCCUCCUCCAGAUAGUGGGGGUGGACUUGGGGAUUGAGGGGCUGGACCGACUGAACAGUAGGACCCAAGAGAUGCUCCACGGGACAAAACAUCCAAGUGGCAGAGGGGAUGGUAGGCAGCGACGACGGCACAGGGAAACAGACCUCACUCAAUCAGUACAGGAAGUUACUGGAAGCUACCCUGUCGGCCCUGCUCCCCAGAAUAUGCCCGUAUCCACAUUCUCACAGCCUCCACCAACAAACUAUUCAAGCUAUACAGCGAUGUAUCAUAACUCCUAUGAUGGCCAGGACCGCAGUGCCUCUGUCCAGAGCUGGACUGCUGUUGGGUGGAGUGGAGUGCCGCCUCCUGGCCCUCCCUGUUCCUAUGGCCCACCUCUUGGCAACAUAUUACCAGGGACCCCUCAGUUCACCCCUCCGCCUUUGAUGGUCACAGGCUCCCACAAUGCACCAUACCGGCUUCCACCACCUCAGUAUCCUCCGCACCUGGGACCUCCACCGCUACUACCACCAUCAUCACAACCCCCACGUCAUCUACCUCCACCCCCACAAUCCUCAUGUCAACUGCCUCCACCUCCCCACUGCCUGCCGCCCCCGUGUCCAACACUCCUACCUCCACCUCAUCUGCCUCUACGACCACCACCACCACAACCCCCACCUCAUCUUCCUCCACCGCUUCUCCCAGCUCUUCCACCCGCGCCACCCAAACGGGUGACAGCUGAGCCAAAUCUCAUGGUGGCAGAGAUGCAGGGGUCAUCAGAGAAGACCUUGACAGCAGCAGGCCGCCCACCUUCUCCACAAGAAAGUGAACCACCAGGGGAGAGCGAGGACGAUUCCAUAGAUUACGCUGUGUUGUGCAGGAGUUACAAGUAUUCAAAAGAACUUAUUGUUGCUUCUCAUCCCGAGUCGCAAGCUAAGCUCACCAAGAGGGAACUAAGAUAUCUGGCCUGGAGGAUCACCAAGAAGGCUAAGAAGGUUGAGAAUAAGGAUGCUGUCUGCACAUGCUAUGGCUAUGGGUGCAAACACUGCAGCGAUGAUGUCACUGCACGUCCUGCUAAGCGUGGUAGAACACUAAGGGCUAGGCGGAAGAUGGCGAAGGAAAGACGUAGAUGGGAAAAAUGGAUAAAUCAGAAGGCCGCUCCGGCUGUGGCUGGGACUGCUACUGCGACUGUUGUGGCUUCGGCAGGUAAUACUGUGACCACUGAUGGUCCUCCAGCUUCCAAAGCUAAUGAGCAGCAACAGCCAGGAAACACGCAAUAAGCACAGGGAAGCUGAGCUAGCAGUAGCAAAAACAAAAACCCAGACAUGAUUGGAUGAACUCAGUAAAGACAUGGAAGGAUAACAGAGAGUAAUAUUGACCUUGAUUGGCUGAUAAAGAAACCGUGAGGAUACAUGCGGUGACCUAUCGCUGACUUCUGCCCACAUGACUGGACAUGUUUGAGAGAACAUCCAUUCUUUUUCCGUUCUGCCAUAAUCUGUUGAAGUAUCUUGUUCUUUGAUCUGUUUCCACACAUGACUUUUGAUCAUAGAUGUUUGUAAACGAUCUCAGUACCAUAUAGGGAAUCCCCACACUCAGAGAAUGUGUAUUUCCAUUUUUAAUUUAAUUAAUCUCAUAUUUCCUACAUGUACCUUCAUGUGUUUGUAACAUUUGACUUGUAAUUUCUUUCUGUUGUCUGUCUGUAGGAAUAAAGUUACAAACAUUGCUGCUUCCA
rnacentral:lncRNA from 1 species